rnacentral:sRNA from 1 species
ACAAAAUAUAAUCCAAUACCACUUACCUUAAAAAAGGAAAGACAAGCCAGCCAGAAUGGGACAGAGCCAGGCGCAGCAUGGGGGGCAGACUAAGGAGCCCCUCAGUAGCAGGUGCCGGGCUGAGGGGCCUUGCUGCCACACCACACGUGGGAGCAAGGCUGUGCUGGGAUGUCCGGGGAGGUCCUGCUUGCUCGCCCUGUGGCUCUAGUCACUGGGUCCCUUACCAGCAGGCUCACAUUCCAGAGAGACCUGGCACAGUGAAGGGCUCAGAACCAGGUCACAGGUCAGGGUCAACCUCACCUAGGCCACGGGGGACUGAGAACAAGACGCCAGGUUUUGGCUUAAAUCAGACCUUCCUGCCACGGGGCUCUGCACCCUUGCCAUGGGUGAGGGCUUCCUUUUGGGGUGUUUAGGGGAUUGGGGUGGCUACUGAGUCCCUUCAGCUGUGAGGUUCUUCAUCCACGAAAUGAAUUGACAGAGGCUGGCCGGAAGCCCUGGGAGCGGAGCAACUCGGUGGAGAAGCCUGUGUCCUCGAUUCUGUCCAGAACCCCGUCUGUGGCAAAGAGCCCCGAAGCUAAGAGCCCCCUUCAGUCGCAGCCUCACUCUAGGAUGAAGCCUGCUGGGAGCGUGAAUGACAUGGCCCUGGAUGCCUUCGACUUGGACCGGAUGAAGCAGGAGAUCCUAGAGGAGGUGGUGAGAGAGCUCCACAAGGUGAAGGACGAGAUCAUCGACGCCAUCAGGCAGGAGCUGAGUGGGAUCAGCACCACGUAAGGGGCCGGCCUCGCUGCGCUGAUUCGUCGAGCCCAUCCGGUGACAGAGGACAGCCAGGAGCCCAGCCAGCCCCAGACUCCAGUGCACCAGAGCACGCACAGGAGCCUGGGCGCACUGCUGUGAAA